UACAUGACAAAAUAUUUUGCGAUUAUGGUGUAUUUUAAAUUUCGUUUUUGUUGUGAAAAUGUUAUUUUUCGUUGUUCGGGUUAAGAACGAGGCUAAGAGUAAAUUUCUCGAUGUCGUCAAAUGUUUCACAGUUUCAGGUGUUCCAGAGACAUUAUAUUAAUUGUUGUCUGUAUAAUAGAUGUGCAUUUCUACGUUAUGAUUUGUGUGUCAAAUGUAUAUCAUGUAAACCACUUGUUUUCAUAAAUAAAACGUUUGUUGUCCUGAUGUCCAUAACCAGCGAUUCUGAUCACUUGUAAUACUUGUACGUGCCGGUGUGCUGUGGUUGAAUGGACGAUUUUGUUUUGGGAAUUCAGCGUCGUGCGUUCAGCAGUGUUGUUGUCUUAUCGAUCGCGCAUCAAACACGGUUUGGAAACUAUUACUUAUUAUUAACACUACACAAUUACGACCAUUCCAAGUUAUGAUUAAAGUUGAUUUGAGAAUUAUCCUCACUUUUGGCAACUAGCUUAUCUACACAUUCUUGAUGAAUCAGUUUACUACACAUCUCAUAUAGCUACAUAGUCUAUCGCACAAGCCUCAUGAUUCUCCAUUAGUAUAUUUUCAAUAUUCAUUGAAGAAAAAUGUAAGCUCACUGCAUUUAUUCAAGAACUGAACUGCAUCACUUUCAAAUCCACAAUUUCCACUUUUGGACGGUUCCAAUGAAGUAUUGAACAUGCACAUAUGGAUCGCUGAAUGAAAUUUUGUAGCGUCAGGUGUGACAUUAUUACCUCCUUUUGACCUUACUAUUGAAAACACAUUUUCUACACAGUCUUGCGUUAGUCUUUUUGUUAAUAAAAUAUCUAUUUUAUUCUUUUCAUUUAAUUUGUUAAAUAACAUUUUCAAAGCACUCAUAUUUUCUUUCCAACCUACUAUGCAUGGGGGUAAUUUAUCAGUUUUAUUGUGAACUUGUACAAAUAUCUGUUCUGUUUCAUUAAAAAUAGUUCAAUGAUCAGAAAUUUUAGUUAAUGGCUGUUGCCUCACUAUGUGUUAUGCUGUUAAAAACAUCAAAUAAAUUAUCAAACAAUUCUAUAAUUUUUGCUGUAUGUAUAGCUGAACUUUUCAUUUCAUUUACUGAAAUUGAAGUCACCAUUCCAGAACUAACAGAAUGGCUUAGUGUUUGGGUUGCCAAACAAACACGCAUUGGCGAGAAUGGCGGUAGAUCCAUGUAAAUUUUAUUUAAUCGAAUAGCUAACCUUAGCUUUUUGUUUUUGUCUAAAUUAUAAAAAUCUAAUAAAUCUGACCAUCUACAAGAAUCACUGUCAUAACUAAAAUUGUAUUUUUUUAUAUUAUUUUUCACUGAAUAAAUGUUUUCAUCAUUGAAGUUGAUGAAUGGUUGUGUUUCUGUGGCUCCAAAAAAUUUUCUCAUACCAAUAUUAUUGGUUUCUUGGUAACAUAUGAUAACUUUUGGAAUAAUACAAGCAUCUUUAACUUAAUAACAUCUGUAAUAAUGUUUUUAAGUCUA